GUAUGAAGUUGGAAUCGCUAGUAAUCGCGGAUCAGCAUGCCGCGGUGAAUACGUUCCCGGGCCUUGUACACACCGCCCGUCACACCAUGAGAGUCGGGAACACCCGAAGUCCGUAGUCUAACUUUCACGAGAGGACGCGGCCGAAGGUGGGUUCGAUAAUUGGGGUGAAGUCGUAACAAGGUACC
rnacentral:rRNA from 1 species